AAUAUUUGCUAUACCACCUUGAAAACACCCGAUCUCAUCUCGUCUAGGAAGCUAAGCAGGGUUGGAUCUGGUUAGUACUUGGAUGGGAGACUAUUGGGAAUACCAAGUGUUGUAGGCU
rfam:Macaca mulatta chromosome 11, whole genome shotgun sequence.